ACUGCAAGAUUUGAGGAGGACAGCGAAGCAAAUGCCAAAUGUUUGUCCUUUCUGAUUCUGACAUUAUUUCUUCAAAACAUUGAUAACUAGCUACUUCUGACAUGCAGUAUACACCCAGCUCCUCAGCCAUGAUCUCUGAUGCCCCGUAAAACAAGAAAGACAUAUUUUCCAAACUCACAGAAGCCGUCGCUGUUGUUUUUUGAGUCACCACUUGAUGACGCCAGAUACCACAACGUGCCUCAAGUGAGAGGCGCACUCAAUCCCAAGUCAUUUCUGGUUGAGGAGCAGCGACAGAACAGCUGCACAGCCUGUAGUUCUUGGAUGAAACGGAGACAACAACACCGAGAACUUCUCUCAGGAAAGGGACAGCUGAGAGGAGACGGUUGUCAGAGGUAACACCGGAAGAUGCAGCAUCAACCUCUAGCAGAUGUGUGGGAGUCCUUAGAAUGUCAGCUGCCAAUGUUGCCAGACAUUGCAAGAGCCCAGCGUCAUGCUCUGCUCGGACUCCUGCCUCAGCAACACACCACACCCCUGGCACGGACAAUGUCUUCUCCCCACCUGAUGUAGAGACUCCAGAAUUACACCAUGAUGGUAGUUCCUCCUUUCUUCGCCUCCUGUUUCCUGCGCCACAGCCGAUGACCCCGCCACACACCGUGACUUCAGAGAUUUUAGCAACAGACACCCCAGAGAGGGACUAUGGAGUCAAGGUUACAUGGAGGAGGAAAGGGCUGAUGAGGUUGCUGAGGGACUGAGGUUAUCUUUCAAGUGCAGAGGCACUGAUUAGCAUCUAAUCAACAUAACUGUAAAUGUUGACAUUUUAUUAUCAUGUUCUGCAAUUAACACUGAAUUGUAGUUAACACCACAUGAAUACAUUAGUCCACUGAUUGAAAGUGAUAUGCUGCAAUGACUAUAAUAUUAUCGAGUCCAUUCAAUUGUUUUGCUGCUCGGGAUAUUAUCGAGUCCACUCAAUUGUUUUGCUGCUCGGGAUAACUUGGCAUGUUGUCCAUGUGCAGUUGGUAGUUCAGCCCAUUAUGGAUGUGGCUCUGUCUAGGUUCUUGUUUUCUUUGUACCCUGGGUCCACAUUAAAUCUUAAAAAAAAAAAAAAGGUUGUUUUUCAAUUUAACAUAAAUACAUAAUGAAUUUCCGUGGUGUGAGUGUUACAACACUAGCUAGUAACUUGGGUAUAAAUAGAGGGGUCUAUUUACUAGCUACAUGUGUGGUAACAUGGCAUGCAGAAGCAAAGAAACCUGUCCAAUCACUCAGUCUAUAUAACUUGCCAUCCAAUAACAUUGUCAGUUGCCAACUUAGCGACUUUGUUGCUAUAUUUAGCGUGUAUUCAGACCCCUGUAGCGACUAGUGACAAAUCUAGCAACUUUCUGGUGUUUUUGGAGACUCUGACGUGAAAGCACGUAUUGUUCUUACUCUUCUCAACGAGCAGCAAGUGCUGCUGUGGGCCCCAUCCCAAAGCAAUCACAGCAGUCCCUCCCAGCUGCAGUCAGAGCAGGAGAUGUUCACCCCUCCGUGUCCAGACUGCAAAUGAAUCGUGCAUGCGGGAAGCUGCCGCUGGCUGAUCCUGCCCUGGCUUACAUUCAGGGCGGGAUGCAAAUGUAAAAUGUUCUUUGUCUAAAAUAAAUCAC